rnacentral:rRNA from 1 species
CCUACGGGUGGCAGCAGUAGGGAAUAUUGGACAAUGGGCGAAAGCCUGAUCCAGCCAUGCCGCGUGUGUGAAGAAGGCCUUCGGGUUGUAAAGCACUUUCAGUGGGGAAGAAAGCCUUGGGGCUAAUACCCUCGAGGAAGGACAUCACCCACAGAAGAAGCACCGGCUAACUCCGUGCCAGCAGCCGCGGUAAUACGGAGGGUGCGAGCGUUAAUCGGAAUUACUGGGCGUAAAGCGCGCGUAGGCGGUCUGAUAAGCCGGUUGUGAAAGCCCCGGGCUCAACCUGGGAACGGCAUCCGGAACUGUCAGGAUAGAGUGCAGGAGAGGAAGGUAGAAUUCCCGGUGUAGCGGUGAAAUGCGUAGAGAUCGGGAGGAAUACCAGUGGCGAAGGCGGCCUUCUGGACUGACACUGACGCUGAGGUGCGAAAGCGUGGGUAGCAAACAGGAUUAGAUACCCUUGUAGUC